rnacentral:rRNA from 1 species
UACGUAGGGAGCGAGCGUUGUCCGGAUUUAUUGGGCGUAAAGAGCUCGUAGGCGGCUUGGUAAUUCGGAUGUGAAAUCUCCAUGCUUAACGUGGAGCGGCCAUCUGAUACUGCUAUGGCUUGAGUCCGGUAGGGGCCCACGGAAUUCCUGGUGUAGCGGUGAAAUGCGCAGAUAUCAGGAGGAACACCGGUGGCGAAGGCGGGUCUCUGGGCCGAUACUGACACUGAGAAGCGAAAGCGUGGGGAGCGAACAGG